GGCACUAUGGCCGAGUGGUUAAGGCGAGAGACUCGAAUUAAAUUUCCAGUAAUCUCUUGGGCUCUGCCCGCGUUGGUUCAAAUCCGACUGGUGUCG
rnacentral:tRNA from 1 species